CUGGUAUAACUCUUGGCGCUAUUUGGGGUUGCUAAAAAUGAAAUAAGGAAGGGAAGGGGACAGAAGAUAAAAAUGGAGUGAGGAUAAAGGGGAGAACAUGAGAGUGGCAAGUUAAAAGUAGGGCGCUAGAGCAGAAGACAGAAGGAAAGCGAGGCAUACAAGGUAAGGGAAAGGUAAGAAGGAGGAGAGAAGAGAACCUAUGUGAUUUCCAACAUCUAAGUGUGGACAGGAGAGAUUGUCUGUAAAAGGGAGAAAACAUGGUCACAAGGAAAGGCGGUGCUAGCAAAUUUUCAUCAUGGAAGCCUAAGGUAAAAUUUUGAGAGAAGGAUGUUUAAUAUAAGUGAUAUCUAAAAUUGCCAAGAUCAAUCAUGAUGAUAAGUGAGAACUGACCAGCCAAUGUAAGCAGUCCAUCUUCCGAGCAGAUUUAUUUUUCACUGUAACCAAAUGUAUUUACAUGCUCCUGUAAAGAGUAUUCUCCCAUGAGCUUUGUUAGUGUGUUUUCACCAAGGAACUGAUAUCUGGGUUGCCCACACCGUGUAGAGUUUUUGUCCUGAAAAGCUAAAGUCCAUAUAUUGAAGAAAACCUACCACAUAAAGAUGUUUCCUAGAAUACCCGUCAUGAUCAAAGGUUUGCAGCUGUAGUGGAACGAACUACCGGAUGCUUCAUUUUUUUCUUUGGCCGUCACUAUUUGUCUGGUUGUUUAUAGAAGCCGAAAAGCAGAACCCCUAUGGCUGAAGACUGGUCCUGAUAGAGAUUCUUCUUCUAAUCUCCUCAAACCAGGAAGGUGUUCAGGUCACCCUGUAAAUGAUUCAAAGACAGAUACUAUGUAAAGUUACAUUUUUCCCCUAAAAUCCAGUCUGUAAGCAAAUUUUAUGCCUCAUUUUAAAUAACAAGUUAUGUAGCUUUGGCAACAUGCCAUCUUAUUUGGCUAGGCUAUGCCAACAGGACCCAACCAGAGCAAGCCAAAAAAGAUCUUUGAAUGACAGACAGCUUAAGAAGAACAGAAUCUGUUAGAGAAAAUAAGAGAAAAGGAGAAAUGUACUGAGCAGAAGCUUCCACACAAGGCUGUUGGGUUCAUUCACCACAUACCAAGGGAACACUACCAAGUAAAUAUUAUAAAUAAAAUACGGCCCAAUCCAAUGAGUGACCUGUUUUGGGAAGCACACAUGUUAAAAGAAACCCUGCUUGAAAGUUAAAGACUACAAUUGCCUUUUAGAAUAUAGACUAGUGCUACCAAUUGUGAUUGUUCUCCUGAACGCUAUGCUUUUGUGACAGUUAAUGGAAUUUAAAAAGGAAAAGUAAACGUAUCUAUAACCUAACUUUCUCAGAAUUAAGUCCAUUGCUCUUAACCUGUUAUUCUUCAGUGACCUCGCAGGACUGCAAGCUACCUAAAACUGAAUGUAAGAUUUUGUGA
rnacentral:lncRNA from 1 species